rnacentral:rRNA from 1 species
AUUCACCUCUGCGAGCCCACGUAACGGACUCCAGUCUCGUGUAGCGGGGACGGGUGAGUAACACGUGGAUAACCUCCUAUAAGACUGGGAUAACUUCGGGAAACCGGAGCUAAACCGGAUGCUUAUAGAUGGAUACGCGCUGCAUUAGCUAUUUGGUAAGGUAACGGCUUACCAAGGCAACGAUGCAUAGCCGACCUGAGAGGGUGAUCGGCCACACUUGAACUGCGACACGGUCCAGACUCCUACGGGAUGCAGCGGUAGGGAAUCGUCCGCCAUGGGCGAAAUCCUUACGUAGCAACGCCGCGUGAGUGAUGAAGGUCUUCGGAUCGUAAAACUCUGUUAUUAGUGAUGCGGUACCUAAUCAGAAAGCCACGGCUAACUACGUGCCAGCAGCCGCGGUAAUAC